rnacentral:tRNA from 1 species
GGGGAUGUAGCUCAGUUGGGAGAGCGGUGCGUUCGCAACGCACAGGUCGUGGGUUCGAAUCCCAUCAUCUCCACCA